CCCGGUGCCAGCGUAAGGCCAGAGUAGUAGUGUCGUUGCAGCAGUGCAGCUUCCCGAAAAGAGAAAAGAAACACAUAUAUACAGAUACUCGAGCCCCCCACCUCCCUCCCAGAACAACUACAUCCGUUUAAUAUAAGAGGCCAUUUAUAUAAAAAUAGAUACUGAAGUGAUUUAGAAAAGCGGAUUUUUGAAUUUCCAAUCAUGGCCGAAACGUACGAGGAGUACGAGGAGACGCACCAUGUCACCAGAAAGUCCGUGACCACCUUCAAAAUCGAGGAACCUGUCCUGUUUGUUCUCGUUGCCGUAUGAGUGUGGUUGUGUGUGUCACGUGUGCGUGUAUUUGAGAGAAAGCAAUUGUGAGGUUUUUUUUUGUAUUGUAUGUGUGCCCGGGCACACACGUGAAAACCAAAAACGGGUACUAUAGUGAGGUACUCAUAGGAAGGAAUCAAAUCAAGGAAAAAGGCAACCAAACAAGGGUGUGUUCUUUGCUCUGGAAGCAAAAAAAUAAUAAUAAUCGAACAACAAAAAGCUACAAUCACACACCCAGAUUACGCGCGCCCGUGUGUGUGAGUGUGUGUGUGUGUGCGUGUGAGUCAACCUGCGUUACCUACUUCUCCUUUCUACCUCUACUCUAUUAGAGCAACAUGACGUCGUCUUCAACCACCACCAAAACCAUCACGACACCGGCCAAACUGUACGGCAAGGAUGUCGGCGCCUAUGACGAUAUCGAUGUGGACGAGCUGCUCGCCCAGCUUUCGCCGGAGGAGAUUACCAUGCUCGCGAAGGAGGUUGAUCCGGACGAUUCGUUUUUGCCACCGAGCCAGCGUACCAACUACGAGUGUGAUAAGGCUCCUACUGGGCCGCUCGAUCGGAAGAAGCUGAUCGAUCAUAUUAAUAAGCAAGCGCUGGAAACACCGGACCGUCCGGAACUGGAACCAUUCGUGCCGGGUGUUGUUCGUGGCAAAAAGUGGAUACCACCACCGCCGGCGGCAAAGCUCCAGGCAGCCGACGAGCAGAUCGCAAUCGAUCUCGGCGACGAGUACGAGCAGGCACUGACCGAUGCGACGCAGGAAGAAAUCAUCGAUCUGGCUGCCAUCCUUGGUUUCCACUCGAUGAUGAACCAGGACCAAUACCAUGCCUCACUGCUUAACAAAGGCCAGCCGGUCGGGCUCGGCUGGGACGGCAUUACCAAGUCUGCCAUACCGAAGAUUUUCCCGGCCGAGGCCCCGAACACGACCGAUCCGGAGGAAACGAUCCAGCGCAUCAAGAGCGACGACAGCAAGCUGGUGGAGGUGAAUCUAAACAACAUUAAGACCAUCUCCGAUGAGCAGUUCGACAAACUGUUCGAGGCGCUCAAGUCCAACACACACCUGGAGGUGCUGUCGCUCACGAACGUUGGCCUGACGGAUCGUACCGCACUGAUGCUGGCCACCGCCCUCGAACAGAACCACGCGCUUCGGGUGCUGAACGUCGAGACGAACUUCAUCAGCCCACCUGUCAUCGUGACGCUGGUCAAGAGCCUUCUAACCCAGAUGACAAUCGAGGAGUUCCGUGCCUCGAACCAGCGAUCGCAAGUGUUCGGUAACAAGAUCGAGAUGGAGAUAACGGAGCUGGUCGAGAAGAAUACCACCCUGCUGCGGCUGGGUUUGCAUUUGGAGUUCAAUGACGCCCGGCAUCGGGUGGCCGCCCAUCUGCAGCGUAACAUUGACAGAAUAAGAAAAAAUCUCUCACAGCGGCUGCAGUUUAGAUUUUUUCAAAACAUGCAUAGGAAACAAACGACCAUGAUACAGUGAGGAAGGGAGCAAAGACGACCCAUCCGCGCGGGGUUUUCACACGUUGUCCCGGCGAUGCGAUCAUCUCGCGCUCGUCUACUGAACCUCUUCUUCCCCCUAUCAACACUCUUCACGACCUGUUACUACUAUUACUACUACCAUCACUACAACCACCACCACCACCACCACCACCACCACUACUACUACUACUACUACUCUACCUACCACUAUUACUCGGCUCAACAAUAGCAACAAGUUAUAAAAGAAAACGAAACAAUCCGCGCAGUUUACUACCUCACACAAGCAACCAGAUGCUCCCACUAAUGACAGCUGUCAAUGUGAAGCUGGGGACGCUUAGUGGUUCUUCGGUUCUUCGAUUCCCGAGUCCGAGUGGAGGGCCAAUCGAAGCAAAGAAUUUGUUUCGAACCUAUCCUCCCCCCAAAGAACACUCUCCUACAGAUACCCACUGAUGGGAUAAGAGAACGAGUAUAGCUAUGGAGAUGUAAAAUUACUAGAGCUUAGCAAGAAAACUACAAAACUGGUCCAGUUUUUGAUCCAGUGUGUGCGUGUGUGUGUGUGUGUAUAAAAUGGAAUCGAAACACAUAAUACUUUUAUGAAAAAAAAAACGCAAAAAUCUUGAGUGGAGAUUAUCUUGCCCGGAGCACGAAGAUCACACUAUAAGAUAGCAAAGAAUGUAAUUUAGAGUGUAUGCGUUAACAAAAAAACAACAUGGUGGUACGGGGAUAGUUUUGUUGGUAGCGAUCGUUUGGUGGCAAUACGAAAACUUUCGUACAUACAAGCUGCCAUCUUUAGUAGGGAUUUUUCGAAAAUGUUUGACAGAUGUGGAACAACUAGCUCUCUCUCUCUCUUUUUAAGUAAUCUCUUUUAUUUGGAUGAUUGGAUUGAUUAACUACUUUUUAAAAAUUUCCAUACUUUUAUUUUGGACCUUUCUAACCAGCCUCUAACCUUUUACCUCAUUUAUUGGCUAUUUUCUAUGGCUCGACCUGGGUUUCUCUGUGUGAGGAGCGGAUUGUGAAGAAUGUGUUGAGUUUUGCUAUAUUGUAACCAUACAACAAAUUGGAAGAGGUGCAGAAAAUGAGAGAGAUAGUAAGAUGGCGAACUAAAAUAUACAUACUACAAAAAGCAGAAGCUACAAAUAUUAACUUCAUUGAUAGGAAGAGUAGUGAGUCAAGGAAAAAGAAAAAGAAGAGUCUAAAAACGUAGUAAGGACUUCAUAUAGAUUUUUUGUUAGUUUCGUUUGUUUGUUACCCAUACACCAAUGUCUACGAAUCGGAUAGUUCCUUGGAAGUUGAGAGAAGCGAUGAAAAUUUUAUUUGUAAAUUUCCAAUCUUUACUGGAAAGCGUUCUGUAUCAUGUUUUUUGUAAUUGUGGAAGUUUAUAAAUUUAUCCUUAUGACAUCACACACAAAAAACCACAUACGUGUAGUGUAUCUAGAAGAGAGACUCCGUUGCUGUUGAUUGGUUUUAUCCAUUUUGAAAUUGUGUAUAGGUAGCGUGUAAUAGCUGGUUGCGUCGUUUGCUCAUUCUAUGUAUACAGUUUUUACCAAGCUCAACACACACAUUUGUACCGAUAAUACUCAUCUCAUGCAACGCUUACGCCCUCUAGCGCAAUUGCAGCAAGGCGUUCACCAUGCCAUCCUUCAUCCAUCAUGGUGGAACAUCAUGGUGGAUGUAUUGUGAGAGGUGAACGGUUCUGCUGUCCAUCGUUGUGAGAUAGAGAGAGAGAGAGUGAGCGUGCGUAUGAAUUAAACAACCAAUCAUAGCUACCAAUCAAAUAGGCUUUAGGUCCUGCCGACACCUGUCAGUGGGAAAGGAGUUCAGACUUUUGCCUCCCCCCCCCCCGCCCCCCUUUUAACACCUUCCGUUGUCCUGCCCGGUGUUAGUGUUUGCAGUAGUUGUGCCAGUAGCUCAAGAACGGAAAUUGUAGGACCUACUUGUAACCUCUCUACUAUCCCCGCAUCGUACCGGAAAGCGCCCUAGCUGACAGCGGAGCACUACUGGCAGGCAAAGGGAAUAUUAUAAGCAAAUAUUACACACGCGAUCGCGUGUUGCCGUUUCUGUUUUCGCGAGUUUUCCCAAUUUGUUUUUUUUUUAGGUUUUUUUGUGGUGGUCUUGGUUCUUUAAACUUUCCCGUUGUGCCCGCUGCUUACCUUAAUUGUAUACAUGUAUGUAUAGCGUUGAAUAUAUAUAUUGCAUCUAAAGUUGAAAAUUGAAUUAAAAUUGAAUAUUUAAGUGAGCACAUCAUCGCCCGUGGGUGGUAUUGUGGGUGGGUAGCAACCAUUGUUGGACCGCCUCACCCCAGGAGGAGGUUGAGAGAAGGGAAGGAAAGAAGGGAAUUUGAGGGAGAAUAUAGCAGAAUGUAUGCAGCGUACAAGUGUGGUCCUUCGUGUUGGCACAACUUCGUUUCGUUAUUGGAAACCGGCGUAAAUUCCCCAUUCUUGCGAGCGUGUGUCUGUGUGUGUCUUUGAGUCUAUAUAUAUGAGAGAGGUCAGCGACAAGGGUUCGUCGGGAUCUGGUGACGGUGUUCCUGGUGGAGGAGGAGGAGUAAGAAGACGGAAGCUAGCUGCUGUCGCGUGUCUAUCAACAUCCCUCGUCGGACGUUGCUCCGGCCAUCCUGGGAACGCGAGAGACCUCACUAGCUCUACUGCGAUUGUUACGUCAGGCGCGUCUUAACCAGCGCAAGUAAAAUGUCGGGUUUACUCAACUACAAAACGGAGACACAGACGAUAUAGUACCAUCAAUCCCGCAUGCUUACCAUGGCUUUCGGAACAAAAAACGGCGUCCGCAAAAAAAAAACAAGAGGAAGAAGAAACACACCACCAACCCAACCACCCACACACUCACAUAGAUACGCUUUCGACCAAACCAAUUUGGAGCUCAAGCGCGCGGAUCGCGCCGCAAGGGUAUGUGAUGUAGUCGUUGUGUGGGGUGCGGGUUUGCGUGCAUGUGCGUAUGUCUCCGUGACCUGAAGAAGAAGCGACGACAAGCAAAAUUUUAAUUCGUUUUAAUCACAUCAUUUAUGACCGCCAGUUAUCGUGACUGUUUGCCUGAAGCUGCCUGAUGCUCGGAAGAUGUAUAAGAUUAAGAUCAGGGCAAUGCAAUACGGAUGAUGGUGAUGAUGGAUGGUGUCACGCAUCCAGAGGAUGCUCCGUUCGAUUUAAUAUAUUGUACGACUACGGUUGCGUUCUUUUUACUGUUUCGUUUUCCCCCGCCCCCAAUUUCCUGGUAGCCAUCGAAACAUCGGUAGCAAUAUCUUCCCCCUCGGGUUUUGUUUUUAAACUUUUGUGUUUGUUUUUUAAUAACUAUUUUCCAUAUUGACAAGGCACAGUCAGUCAGCCAACCAGUCAGGAAAACCAGCACCCGCGUGCGGCGGUCUUUAUGCUGCGGAACAGUGCGAUUUGUGUUGCGUACGCUUUAUGUAGUAGGCUAGGCCUAGAACACAUCACAUCAUACGAGGCGAGGAGCUAGAAGAGAACGGAAAAAUCUAUCGUGUCGGAAUAGUGAGGAAGCUUUUGCUUUAGCUUGUUGUAGAAUUGAGGACAAAUGAUACACCCACGCAGGUUGGAAAUGAAGAAAAUUUUGGUAAAAGCUCGAAGAAAAUCUUAUCCUAUUUUUGCGAAACGAAGAUAUCUAAGACGCGUUGACUAUUAUAACUCGUCCGAUGCAACCAUCACACAAACACACACCCCGGUGGAUGGAAAUGCGCGGUUUCUAUUUUUAUAUUAUUCUUAUUAUUUAUGUUAAGCAUAUUUCCGAUUAGCUUUGGCGGCAAAAAAAUGGCAGCAAGAGUUUGAGACGUAUAAGGAAUAUCCCUGAAUGAGAAGGUAGAUGACGAUGAUGAUGAUGAUGUAUGAGGCAAAUCCCCACUACCAGUCGUGAACGUUUUUAAAUUAUUCACUAUCGAAUGUUUAUGGUAAACACAAUAGUACAUCAACAAAUAAAAUGUAAGCGAAAAAUGUAACGAUCACUCUGCCGCCAUUUA